UGAGGGUGCAAGCGUUAAUCGGAAUUACUGGGCGUAAAGCGAGUGUAGGCGGCUAUUUAAGUCGGAUGUGAAAGCCCCGGGCUCAACCUGGGAAUUGCAUUCGAAACUGGAUGGCUAGAGUUUGGUAGAGGUAAGUGGAAUUCCGGGUGUAGCGGUGAAAUGCGUAGAUAUCCGGAGGAACAUCAGUGGCGAAGGCGACUUACUGGACCAAAACUGACGCUGAGGCUCGAAAGCGUGGGGAGCAAACAGGAUUAGAUACCCUGGUAGUCCACGCCCUAAACGAUGUCAACUAGACGUUGGGUUCAUUAAGGAACUUAGUGUCGAAGCUAACGCGUUAAGUUGACCGCCUGGGGAGUACGGCCGCAAGGUUG
rnacentral:rRNA from 1 species